GUCUUCCGUAGUGUAGUGGUUAACACCUUCAUUUUAGUCCAAACCAAGAGGUCGCGCGUUCGAGUCUCGCAGCUAACA